GUUUACAACUCCCAAACCCAAUGUGAACGUUACCAAACUGUUGCCUCGGCGGGGUCACGCCCGGGGUGCGUCGCAGCCCCGGAACCAGGCGCCCGCCGGAGGAACCAACCAAACUCUUUCUGUAGUCCCCUCGCGGACGUAUUUCUUACAGCUCUGAGCAAAAAUUCAAAAUGAAUCAAAACUUUCAACAACGGAUCUCUUGGUUCUGGCAUCGAUGAAGAACGCAGCGAAAUGCGAUAAGUAAUGUGAAUUGCAGAAUUCAGUGAAUCAUCGAAUCUUUGAACGCACAUUGCGCCCGCCAGUAUUCUGGCGGGCAUGCCUGUCCGAGCGUCAUUUCAACCCUCGAACCCCUCCGGGGAAUCGGCGUUGGGGAUCGGGACCCCUCACACGGGUGCCGGCCCCGAAAUACAGUGGCGGUCUCGCCGCAGCCUCUCCUGCGCAGUAGUUUGCACAACUCGCACCGGGAGCGCGGCGGGUCCACGUCCGUAAAACACCCAACUUUCUGAAAUGUUGACCUCGGAUCAGGUA
rnacentral:sRNA from 1 species